AGAACACCUCGCCCGCAAGAGGCCUCUCUUAGGGACCGAAGGGUCCCUGGGCCUGAGGCAAAACAGACUCUGGAACUACUGAACAACCCUAUAUCCCUCUACUUAAUCGACACCUGAACCAAAUUUCUCCCCCAACAGAGCAGUCUCUGAGCGAGAGGAGGAGGAGGUUCCUCAGGACCGCUUAUUGUCCAGGGGUAGGAGUCUCCAUUAGGUGCAAGAGGGUCAAAUUCCCAGAGCAGCCUAGGUCUUCACACCUUUUAAUUUGGGGGACUUAUCAGCCUUUAAGGGCGCUGGUUCUUCCCUUGUCCUGAACUUACUCUCCUAGCCUUCCAGAAAUGGGAGUCUAGAAGUUCCCAUGUGAGGCCCAACCGUUACAAGAAGCAGACAAGGCGAGGGCAGGGCCCAGCGUGGCUUUCUAUGGUGAGCAGGAAUCUGUUUAUGUCUGCACCCUGUGCCUCCAACAGGGCACUUUUUAGUCGGGAAUGGACAGCUGGGAGCAGAAACCAGCACACGUGGCACUGGAAUCCACAACAAGCAGCAAAAACUACGCCCAACGUGGGGCUCGAACCCACGACCCUGAGAUUAAGAGUCUCAUGCUCUACCGACUGAGCUAGCCGGGCGGCUGAGGGUACCCGACUAUGGCCAGGUUUCCGAAGUUGACGGGGUGUGGACCGCCCCAAACGAAAGUAUGGAGCAGGUACCAGGGUCAGUGGGUAAGUGGAGUGCCUGGAUUUGAGGUGGGGGUGGGCUCCGGCUGCAAACGCCAGCAGCGCAUCGCCUCUCCCCACGCCGAUGCCUUGGCCUCCUGACCGAGAACCUUCGGGUCCAGGCUUGACGGUUCUGAGACCUGCCACCGGCGAAGAACGGGCUCCCGAUGCAGAGGAAGGAAACAUCUCUGUCUUCCGUUCCUCGUUCCUCCAGCACAGGCUGACACUGUAGCUUGUUAGGAGACUCACGGAGACACUUUGGCUACUGGGUCUCAAUGAAAAAUUUUAAAACGACAAUGGAAGGGCUCAGAGUGGGCCCUGAGACCCGCAAGUGGGGAAGAAAAGCAGGGCUCGUCCGGGAUUUGAACCCGGGACCUCUCGCACCCAAAGCGAGAAUCAUACCCCUAGACCAACGAGCCGCACACACCUGGCUCCCUCCCGCGGUCCUUCCGCAGGUGACUCCGGUGAAGCUCGCCGCCAUAGUUCAGUUGUCGGUGUCCCCACCUGCGAACCCCAGGUCACAGGAAUAGGAGUCUACAAGCCCCCAUGAGAGACCCAACCGGUACAAGGCGCUGACAAGGACGAGGGCAGGACCCAGCAUGGCUUCCGCUGUUGUUCAGCCGCUCAGUCGUGUCCGACUCUAUGUGACCCCAUGGACGUCAGCACGCCAGGCCUCCCCGUCCAUCAUCAACUCCAGGAGUUUGCUCUAACUCACGGUCAUUGAUUCAAUGAUGCCAUCCAACCAUCAUCCUCUGCCACCCCCUUCUCCUCCUGCCUUCAGUUUUUCCCAACAUCAGGGUCUUUUCCAAUGAGUUGGCUCUUGGCAUCAGGUGGCCAAAGGAUUGGAGCUUCAGCAUCAGUCCUUCCAAUGAAUAUUCAGGGUUGAUUUCCUUUAGGAUGGACUGGUUUGAUCUCCUCGUAGUGCAAGGGAGUCUUAAGGGUCUUCUCGAACAACACAUUUCAAAAGCAUCAAUGGAGAUCAGAAAUUUGUGUGUGUCUGCACCCUGUGCCUCCAACAGGGCACCUUUUAGUCGGAAAUGGACACCUGGGAGCAGAAGACCAACCCAUGUGGGGCAGGAAUCCAAAUAGGCGGCAAAAACUACGCCCAACGUGGGGCUCGAACCCACGACCCUGAGAUUAAGAGUCUCAUGCUCUACCGACUGAGCUAGCCGGGCGGCCGCACAAAGCCACCUGCAGACAGGUGUCGGAAUUUGACGGCUGUGCUGCUGCUGCUGCUAAGUCGCUUCAGUCGUGUCUGACUCUGUGCGACCCCAGAGACGGCAGCCCACCAGGCUCCCCCGUCCUUGGGAUUCUCCAGGCAAGAACACUGGAAUGGCUUUCCAUUUCCU
rnacentral:tRNA from 1 species